rnacentral:rRNA from 1 species
GACGAACGCUGGCGGCGUGCCUAAUACAUGCAAGUAGAACGCUGAAGGAGGAGCUUGCUUCUCUGGAUGAGUUGCGAACGGGUGAGUAACGCGUAGGUAACCUGCCUGGUAGCGGGGGAUAACUAUUGGAAACGAUAGCUAAUACCGCAUAAGAGUGGAUGUUGCAUGACAUUUGCUUAAAAGGUGCACUUGCAUCACUACCAGAUGGACCUGCGUUGUAUUAGCUAGUUGGUGGGGUAAGGGCUCACCAAGGCGACGAUACAUAGCCGACCUGAGAGGGUGAUCGGCCACACUGGGACUGAGACACGGCCCAGACUCCUACGGGAGGCAGCAGUAGGGAAUCUUCGGCAAUGGACGGAAGUCUGACCGAGCAACGCCGCGUGAGUGAAGAAGGUUUUCGGAUCGUAAAGCUCUGUUGUAAGAGAAGAACGAGUGUGAGAGUGGAAAGUUCACACUGUGACGGUAUCUUACCAGAAAGGGACGGCUAACUACGUGCCAGCAGCCGCGGUAAUACGUAGGUCCCGAGCGUUGUCCGGAUUUAUUGGGCGUAAAGCGAGCGCAGGCGGUUAGAUAAGUCUGAAGUUAAAGGCUGUGGCUUAACCAUAGUAGGCUUUGGAAACUGUUUAACUUGAGUGCAAGAGGGGAGAGUGGAAUUCCAUGUGUAGCGGUGAAAAUGCGUAGAUAUAUGGAGGAACACCGGUGGCGAAAGCGGCUCUCUGGCUUGUAACUGAUGCUGAGGCUCGAAAGCGUGGGAGUAAACAGGUUAGAUACCCGGGUAGUUCAAGGGCGAAUAUUCAAGUGAGAUUAAGACCUAUUGAUACGUCCACCUCGGGGGCGAAUAAGAUAAUAAAAAUUAUUGUCUUUGGUUAGGGUAAUUAUCUCGGUUA